rnacentral:rRNA from 1 species
GUGGGGAAUUUUGGACAAUGGGCGCAAGCCUGAUCCAGCCAUUCCGCGUGCAGGAUGAAGGCCUUCGGGUUGUAAACUGCUUUUGUACGGAACGAAAAGCCUCUGGUUAAUACCCGGGGGUCAUGACGGUACCGUAAGAAUAAGCACCGGCUAACUACGUGCCAGCAGCCGCGGUAAUACGUAGGGUGCGAGCGUUAAUCGGAAUUACUGGGCGUAAAGCGUGCGCAGGCGGUGAUGUAAGACAGUUGUGAAAUCCCAGGGCUCAACCUGGGAACUGCAUCUGUGACUGCAUUGCUGGAGUGCGGCAGAGGGGGAUGGAAUUCCGCGUGUAGCAGUGAAAUGCGUAGAUAUGCGGAGGAACACCGAUGGCGAAGGCAAUCCCCUGGGCCUGCACUGACGCUCAUGCACGAAAGCGUGGGGAGCAAACAGGAUUAGAUACCCUGGUAGUCC